rnacentral:rRNA from 1 species
GACGAACGCUGGCGGCGUGCUUAACACAUGCAAGUCGAACGGUGAACCACUUUCGGGUGGGAUCAGUGGCGAACGGGUGAGUAACACGUGAGCAACCUGCCCCUAGCUCUGGCAUAACCCCGGGAAACCGGGGCUAAUUCCGGAUAUUAACCUGGUUGGCAUCUUCUGGGUUGGAAAGUUUUUCGGCUGGGGAUGGGCUCGCGGCCUAUCAGCUUGUUGGUGGGGUAGUGGCCUACCAAGGCGACGACGGGUAGCCGGCCUGAGAGGGCGACCGGCCACACUGGGACUGAGACACGGCCCAGACUCCUACGGGAGGCAGCAGUGGGGAAUAUUGCGCAAUGGGCGAAAGCCUGACGCAGCGACGCCGCGUGAGGGAUGAAGGCCUUCGGGUUGUAAACCUCUUUCAGCAGGGAAGAAGCGCAAGUGACGGUACCUGCAGAAGAAGCACCGGCUAACUACGUGCCAGCAGCCGCCGUAACAC